GUUGCGAUGAGUUAAGUACCAUAUGGUGUCGAAGGGCAGUGGAAGGAGGGUUCACCAUGAGCUCAAUUUAAUUAACGACUUCUCCUUCCACUAAAGCGAU